GAUGAACGCUGGCGGCGUGCCUAAUACAUGCAAGUCGAGCGAAUGGAUUAAGAGCUUGCUCUUAUGAAGUUAGCGGCGGACGGGUGAGUAACACGUGGGUAACCUGCCCAUAAGACUGGGAUAACUCCGGGAAACCGGGGCUAAUACCGGAUAACAUUUUGAACCGCAUGGUUCGAAAUUGAAAGGCGGCUUCGGCUGUCACUUAUGGAUGGACCCGCGUCGCAUUAGCUAGUUGGUGAGGUAACGGCUCACCAAGGCAACGAUGCGUAGCCGAACUGAGAGUGUCUCGGGCCACACUGGGACUGAGACCCGGCCCAGACUCCUACGGCAGGCAGCAGUAGGGAAUCUUCCGCAAUGGACGAAAGUAUGACGGAGCAACGCCGCGUUAGUGAUGAAGGCUUUCGGGUCGUAAAACUCUGUUGUUAGGGAAGAACAAGUGCUAGUUGAAUAAGCUGGCACCUUGACGGUACCUAACCAGAAAGCCACGGCUAACUACGUGCCAGCAGCCGCGGUAA
rnacentral:rRNA from 1 species